GUCAGCGGCAGACGGGUGAGUAACACGUGGGAACGUACCCUUCGGUUCGGAAUAACGCUGGGAAACUAGCGCUAAUACCGGAUACGCCCUUUUGGGGAAAGGUUUACUGCCGAAGGAUCGGCCCGCGUCUGAUUAGCUAGUUGGUGGGGUAACGGCCUACCAAGGCGACGAUCAGUAGCUGGUCUGAGAGGAUGAUCAGCCACACUGGGACUGAGACACGGCCCAGACUCCUACGGGAGGCAGCAGUGGGGAAUAUUGGACAAUGGGCGCAAGCCUGAUCCAGCCAUGCCGCGUGAGUGAUGAAGGCCUUAGGGUUGUAAAGCUCUUUUGUCCGGGACGAUAAUGACGGUACCGGAAGAAUAAGCCCCGGCUAACUUCGUGCCAGCAGCC
rnacentral:rRNA from 1 species